rnacentral:rRNA from 1 species
UGUAGCGGUGAAAUGCGUAGAGAUCUGGAGGAAUACCGGUGGCGAAGGCGGCCCCCUGGACGAAGACUGACGCUCAGGUGCGAAAGCGUGGGGAGCAAACAGGAUUAGAUACCAUGGUAGUCCACGCCGUAAACGAUGUCGACUUGGAGGUUGUGCCCUUGAGGCGUGGCUUCCGGAGCUAACGCGUUAAGUCGACCGCCUGGGGAGUACGGCCGCAAGGUUAAAACUCAAAUGAAUUGACGGGGGCCCGCACAAGCGGUGGAGCAUGUGGUUUAAUUCGAUGCAACGCGAAGAACUUUACCUGGUCUUGACAUCCACGGAAGUUUUCAGAGAUGAGAAUGUGCCUUCGGGAACCGUGAGACAGGUGCUGCAUGGCUGUCGUCAGCUCGUGUUGUGAAAUGUUGGGUUAAGUCCCGCAACGAGCGCAACCCUUAUCCUUUGUUGCCAGCGGUCCGGCCGGGAACUCAAAGGAGACUGCCAGUGAUAAACUGGAGGAAGGUGGGGAUGACGUCAAGUCAUCAUGGCCCUUAUGACCAGGGCUACACACGUGCUACAAUGGCGCAUACAAAGAGAAGCGACCUCGCGAGAGCAAGCGGACCUCAUAAAGUGCGUCGUAGUCCGGAUUGGAGUCUGCAACUGGACUCCAUGAAGUCGGAAUCGUUAGUAAUCGUGGAUCAGAAUGCCACGGUGAAUACGUUCCCGGGCCUUGUACACACCGCCCGUCACACCAUGGGAGUGGGUUGCAAAAGAAGUAGGUAGCUUAACCUUCGGGAGGGCGCUUACCACUUUGUGAUUCAUGACUG